rnacentral:rRNA from 1 species
GACGAACGCUGGCGGCGUGCUUAACACAUGCAAGUCGAACGGAAAGGCCCUGCUUUUGUGGGGUGCUCGAGUGGCGAACGGGUGAGUAACACGUGAGUAACCUGCCCUUGACUUUGGGAUAACUUCAGGAAACUGGGGCUAAUACCGGAUAGGAGCUCCUGCUGCAUGGUGGGGGUUGGAAAGUUUCGGCGGUUGGGGAUGGACUCGCGGCUUAUCAGCUUGUUGGUGGGGUAGUGGCUUACCAAGGCUUUGACGGGUAGCCGGCCUGAGAGGGUGACCGGCCACAUUGGGACUGAGAUACGGCCCAGACUCCUACGGGAGGCAGCAGUGGGGAAUAUUGCACAAUGGGCGGAAGCCUGAUGCAGCAACGCCGCGUGCGGGAUGACGGCCUUCGGGUUGUAAACCGCUUUCGCCUGUGACGAAGCGUGAGUGACGGUAAUGGGUAAAGAAGCACCGGCUAACUACGUGCCAGCAGCCGCGGUGAUACGUAGGGUGCGAGCGUUGUCCGGAUUUAUUGGGCGUAAAGGGCUCGUAGGUGGUUGAUCGUGUCGGAAGUGUAAUCUUGGGGCUUAACCCUGAGCGUGCUUUCGAUACGGGUUGACUUGAGGAAGGUAGGGGAGAAUGGAAUUCCUGGUGGAGCGGUGGAAUGCGCAGAUAUCAGGAGGAACACCAGUGGCGAAGGCGGUUCUCUGGGCCUUUCCUGACGCUGAGGAGCGAAAGCGUGGGGAGCGAACAGGCUUAGAUACCCUGGUAGUCCACGCUGUAAACGGUGGGUACUAGGUGUGGGGUCCAUUCCACGGGUUCCGUGCCGUAGCUAACGCUUUAAGUACCCCGCCUGGGGAGUACGGCCGCAAGGCUAAAACUCAAAGGAAUUGACGGGGCCCCGCACAAGCGGCGGAGCAUGCGGAUUAAUUCGAUGCAACGCGUAGAACCUUACCUGGGUUUGACAUGGAUCGGGAGUGCUCAGAGAUGGGUGUGCCUCUUUUGGGGUCGGUUCACAGGUGGUGCAUGGCUGUCGUCAGCUCGUGUCGUGAGAUGUUGGGUUAAGUCCCGCAACGAGCGCAACCCUUGUUCACUGUUGCCAGCACGUUAUGGUGGGGACUCAGUGGAGACCGCCGGGGUCAACUCGGAGGAAGGUGGGGAUGACGUCAAGUCAUCAUGCCCCUUAUGUCCAGGGCUUCACGCAUGCUACAAUGGCUGGUACAGAGAGUGGCGAGCCUGUGAGGGUGAGCGAAUCUCGGAAAGCCGGUCUCAGUUCGGAUUGGGGUCUGCAACUCGACCUCAUGAAGUCGGAGUCGCUAGUAAUCGCAGAUCAGCAACGCUGCGGUGAAUACGUUCCCGGGGCUUGUACACACCGCCCGUCAAGUCAUGAAAGUUGGUAACACCCGGAGCCGGUGGCCUAACCGUUGUGGGGGAGCCGUCGAAGGUGGGACUGGUGAUUAGGACUAAGUCGUAACAAGGUAGCCGUACCGGAAGG